ACAGAGGGUGCAAGCGUUAAUCGGAUUUACUGGGCGUAAAGCGCGCGUAGGCGGCUAAUUAAGUCAAAUGUGAAAUCCCCGAGCUUAACUUGGGAAUUGCAUUCGAUACUGGUUAGCUAGAGUGUGGGAGAGGAUGGUAGAAUUCCAGGUGUAGCGGUGAAAUGCGUAGAGAUCUGGAGGAAUACCGAUGGCGAAGGCAGCCAUCUGGCCUAACACUGACGCUGAGGUGCGAAAGCAUGGGGAGCAAACAG
rnacentral:rRNA from 1 species